AGCGAACCGGGGGAACUGAAACAUCUAAGUACCCCGAGGAAAAGAAAUCAACCGAGAUUCCCCCAGUAGCGGCGAGCGAACGGGGAGCAGCCCAGAGUCUGAAUCAGCUUGUGUGUUAGUGGAACGGUCUGGAAAGUCCGACGGUACAGGGUGAUAGUCCCGUACACCAAAAUGCACAGGUUGUGAACUCGAAGAGUAGGGCGGGACACGUGGUAUCCUGUCUGAAUAUGGGGGGACCAUCCUCCAAGGCUAAAUACUCCUGACUGACCGAUAGUGAACCAGUACCGUGAGGGAAAGGCGAAAAGAACCCCGGCGAGGGGAGUGAAAAAGAACCUGAAACCGUGUACGUACAAGCAGUGGGAGCCUCUUUAUGGGGUGACUGCGUACCUUUUGUAUAAUGGGUCAGCGACUUAUAUUCUGUAGCAAGGUUAACCGUAUAGGGGAGCCGAAGGGAAACCGAGUCUUAACUGGGCGUUAAGUUGCAGGGUAUAGACCCGAAACCCGGUGAUCUAGCCAUGGGCAGGUUGAAGGUUGGGUAACACUAACUGGAGGACCGAACCGACUAAUGUUGAAAAAUUAGCGGAUGACUUGUGGCUGGGGGUGAAAGGCCAAUCAAACCGGGAGAUAGCUGGUUCUCCCCGAAAGCUAUUUAGGUAGCGCCUCGUGAACUCAUCUUCGGGGGUAGAGCACUGUUUCGGCUAGGGGGUCAUCCCGACUUACCAACCCGAUGCAAACUGCGAAUACCGAAGAAUGUUAUCACGGGAGACACACGGCGGGUGCUAACGUCCGUCGUGAAGAGGGAAACAACCCAGACCGCCAGCUAAGGUCCCAAAGUCAUGGUUAAGUGGGAAACGAUGUGGGAAGGCACAGACAGCCAGGAUGUUGGCUUAGAAGCAGCCAUCAUUUAAAGAAAGCGUAAUAGCUCACUGGUCGAGUCGGCCUGCGCGGAAGAUGUAACGGGGCUAAACCAUGCACCGAAGCUGCGGCAGCGACACUAUGUGUUGUUGGGUAGGGGAGCGUUCUGUAAGCCGUUGAAGGUGUGCUGUGAGGCAUGCUGGAGGUAUCAGAAGUGCGAAUGCUGACAUAAGUAACGAUAAUGCGGGUGAAAAACCCGCACGCCGGAAGACCAAGGGUUCCUGUCCAACGUUAAUCGGGGCAGGGUGAGUCGACCCCUAAGGCGAGGCCGAAAGGCGUAGUCGAUGGGAAACAGGUUAAUAUUCCUGUACUUGGUGUUACUGCGAAGGGGGGACGGAGAAGGCUAUGUUAGCCGGGCGACGGUUGUCCCGGUUUAAGCAUGUAGGCGGAGGUUCCAGGUAAAUCCGGUACCUUUUUAACGCUGAGGUGUGAUGACGAGGCACUACGGUGCUGAAGUAACAAAUGCCCUGCUUCCAGGAAAAGCCUCUAAGCAUCAGGUAACACGAAAUCGUACCCCAAACCGACACAGGUGGUCAGGUAGAGAAUACCAAGGCGCUUGAGAGAACUCGGGUGAAGGAACUAGGCAAAAUGGUGCCGUAACUUCGGGAGAAGGCACGCUGAUAUGUAGGUGAAGCGGUUUACCCGUGGAGCUGAAAUCAGUCGAAGAUACCAGCUGGCUGCAACUGUUUAUUAAAAACACAGCACUGUGCAAACACGAAAGUGGACGUAUACGGUGUGACGCCUGCCCGGUGCCGGAAGGUUAAUUGAUGGGGUUAUCCGUAAGGAGAAGCUCUUGAUCGAAGCCCCGGUAAACGGCGGCCGUAACUAUAACGGUCCUAAGGUAGCGAAAUUCCUUGUCGGGUAAGUUCCGACCUGCACGAAUGGCGUAAUGAUGGCCAGGCUGUCUCCACCCGAGACUCAGUGAAAUUGAACUCGCUGUGAAGAUGCAGUGUACCCGCGGCAAGACGGAAAGACCCCGUGAACCUUUACUAUAGCUUGACACUGAACACUGGUCCUUGAUGUGUAGGAUAGGUGGGAGGCUUUGAAGUGUGGACGCCAGUCUGCAUGGAGCCAUCCUUGAAAUACCACCCUUUAAUGGCUGGUGUUCUAACGUGGACCCGUUACCCGGGUUGCGGACAGUGUCUGGUGGGUAGUUUGACUGGGGCGGUCUCCUCCUAAAGAGUAACGGAGGAGCACGAAGGUUAGCUAAUCCUGGUCGGACAUCAGGAGGUUAGUGCAAAGGCAUAAGCUAGCUUGACUGCGAGAGUGACGGCUCGAGCAGGUGCGAAAGCAGGUCUUAGUGAUCCGGUGGUUCUGAAUGGAAGGGCCAUCGCUCAACGGAUAAAAGGUACUCCGGGGAUAACAGGCUGAUACCGCCCAAGAGUUCAUAUCGACGGCGGUGUUUGGCACCUCGAUGUCGGCUCAUCACAUCCUGGGGCUGAAGUAGGUCCCAAGGGUAUGGCUGUUCGCCAUUUAAAGUGGUACGCGAGCUGGGUUUAGAACGUCGUGAGACAGUUCGGUCCCUAUCUGCCGUGGGCGCUGGAGAAUUGAGGGGGGCUGCUCCUAGUACGAGAGGACCGGAGUGGACGCAUCACUGGUGUUCGGGUUGUCAUGCCAAUGGCAUUGCCCGGUAGCUAAAUGCGGAAGAGAUAAGUGCUGAAAGCAUCUAAGCACGAAACUUGC
rnacentral:rRNA from 1 species